CAGGGCUCAGUCACCAACUAUUCAUAAGAGGGUAAGGAGACAGAUGCAGGCAGGGAGCGGGAGGAGGGAAUGGGAAUGAGCUGAGCAGCAGCAUCACAGCUGGAGGACUGGACAUGGAUGACCAGCUCCUCACUUCCAGGUGUUUCCACAUCAAGCAUCCUGCAGACAGCUAACAAGUUCAUUCUACAAAGUACAGUUCUCACCACUUUAUCCUUCCUCUGCUCGGAAACAGUCAAUGGUUUCCCACUGUCCACAGGGGAUGCUUAACGCAUGUGGGUUAUGCAGCUAGAAAGACAAGGCACAACCUCUUUGGUCUCUGCCUCUUUUCAUGGCACAGACACCAAAAGGCACAAAAUGUCAAGGAUUGUCCUGUCUACCAGCAAGAAAGAGACUACAGACAGCUAAGGGAGGAAGGUUCCACACACAGCUGCCAAGGACAACAGACAACAUGGGACCACUGCUUCUACACUCAGGAGGCCACACAUGGGUCCUAACAGGAACAUACAUUUACUCUGGACUGGGUUUUGCAUACUGGGUGGGAUAUGGU
rnacentral:lncRNA from 1 species